GAUGAACGCUGGCGGCGUGCUUAAGACAUGCAAGUCGAACGAAAUCCUUGUAGCAAUACGGGGGUUGAGUGGCGAAUGGGUGCGUAACACGUAGGUGACCUGCCCUGAAGCGGGGAAUAA
rnacentral:rRNA from 1 species